rnacentral:tRNA from 1 species
UAUGGAUAUGGUGAAAUUGGUAGACACAUUAGAUUUAGAAUCUAACAACUUUUGUUAUGAGAGUUCAAUUCUCUCUAUCCAUAUC